ACAGAAAAUGCCAAAUAUCAUGAACUGACUUCCAAAGUGUGGACAGUCCAAAGAGCAAUGUCCUUAGAGCAAUGUCUAAGUCAACAGGAACAAGUGAACCGUGUUUUUAUUUUUUUACAACGAUUUACCAGCCAUUAUGACUGUGAGAAGACCUGACACGUAAUAACCUGCAGUGAGAUGUACAGAAAUCCAUAAGACAACACAGAAUGUACACAAGUGGGAAUGAAACUGUUCAAUGGAAAGUGGCCAGUACCCCAGUGAAGACAGAUCGACAGCUCCUGCACAAUGCUCCGUACCACCCUCUCCAUUCUCUUGAAAACAGAAGGGACUCAGAGAGGAGUCAGCGAAAUGAGGGUUGCACCCCUUAUUACUGACCAAAUCACUGCAUGGACACUCCUGUAGGAUUGCUGCACUUUGACGGAUGUCAUUGUCCACACAGGCUCUUCUUUGUUGCAGGGCUAGGGGAGGACCUUGUUAUUAUUUUUACUAAUAUCUGAAAGGAUCAUCUUCAUCCCAUGUACCUUUUGCAUUGGAGCAGCUUGUGGAAUUAAUAGCUAUGUUGAAUAGUGCAAAACAUUAGCCAUAUAUUUCAGUUCAGUGUGAAUUUAAUCUUUUUGUGUACUAGAAACAGAGACAAUAUCAGGUUAUUUAACAUAGCAGUGCAUACACACUCCUAAUAAUGCUAAUGACAAUGUCUGUUCCAUUAUGUUAAAUGAAAAAGAUGACUUGAAAAUGUUUAUGGUAGCCCGUGAUUUAAUUUAAACACAACUGAAUUGGCUAGAUUUACAAUUUAAACAGCAGGUCAUCUGUACGUACAUCCUGUAUUUGGACAGUUCCCAUAUUGUUGGUAUAUUGACAGAAGCAAUGUACUAAGGGAAUAUAUAAAAGCCAGUCCUAGCUUGUUCGCUCCUAGCGCUCGACACAUGCAACUGUAGUGACUGGAAGGGGGCAAAAUGAUACAAUUUGCAUACUUCAGUACUGUAGCAAAUGACUGCAUUGACAAGGUCACCAUGCUAAAUUGACAUCAUCCUCACCAAAUCCAGCUUCUAAAAAUCCACCAAUAUUUCCACGGUGAUGCCUGUAAGAACCUCAUUAAGUGUUGGACUCUUUGGGGUUUUUUUUCCCCUCUUGCCUGUUUAAUAAGCAAUUUAUUUUUUAAUUAAGAAUUCAGUAUGCUUUUAAUUUACACAGGAAAAAAAGCUUGAGUGCUAUGUUUUGUUUGUGGUAACAUGGCUAGUUGUAUAAAAUGCCAUUUCUUUCUCUGCUAUAUACAUAAUUGUAUUUCCAAAGGUAGCUCUCAUUGAAUCAGAUAACUAGUAAAUUCUUUUGUAAUCAGAAGAUAAUUAGGUUGUUGUUUACAGCGUAAGUGAUCAAUAGCUUUUAUUCUGGAUCACACAGUGUCAAAGCUCUAAUAAUUGGUAUAAAAUGUAAUAGAGAUACUGCAAUCAAAACAAAUGUAUAAAAUCUUCAAAAAGGUAUGUACUAUACUAGGAGGUUAUUAAAAUUCCUGAUACUGUUUAAAAUGUUUAAUAUGAUGAAUACAAACGAUAUUUUAAAGAAAGCUUUGUGGAUCAAAGAUGGAUUUAAUAAUUGUAAUGUUUAUGAAUUUGUUUUGAAAAUAUUUUUAAUUGGAUAACGUCAGACUUCUGAAUUAUAGUGCUAUGUUCAUUAGCAUUUCAAUGGUUAGACUAUCAACUCCUUUUGACAUAAAAGAAUUUGAUUUAUUUUUUAAAUCAUGAAUCUCGUAAUCUUUUCUGUUGUCACUAGUUUUCAGUAAUUUGAUUAGCUUCUACAAGAAGAGCAACAGGAACCACAUGGGCUUUGCUGGUAAUUACAUGCUAUACAUUCCUUUUCCAAAAGCAGCUCUGAUGCCUUUGAAAACAAUUUUCAGUUUCUUAUCAGCACAGAAUUAAAGAAUAAUAUUGUCUAA